rnacentral:rRNA from 1 species
GGUUGAUCCUGCCGGAGGUUACUGCUAUCGGUGUUCGCCUAAGCCAUGCGAGUCAUAUGUAGCAAUACAUGGCGUACUGCUCAGUAACACGUGGAUAACCUGCCCUUGGGUCCGGCAUAACCCCGGGAAACUGGGGAUAAUUCCGGAUAACGCACAUAUGCUGGAGUGCUUUAUGCGUAAAAUGGAUUCGUCUGCCCAAGGAUGGGUCUGCGGCCUAUCAGGUAGUAGUGGGUGUAAUGUACCUACUAGCCGACGACGGGUACGGGUUGUGAGAGCAAGAGCCCGGAGAUGGAUUCUGAGACAUGAAUCCAGGCCCUACGGGGCGCAGCAGGCGCGAAAACUUUACAAUGCGGGAAACCGUGAUAAGGGGACACCGAGUGCCAGCAUCAUAUGCUGGCUGUCCAGAUGUGUAAAAUACAUCUGUUAGCAAGGGCCGGGCAAGACCGGUGCCAGCCGCCGCGGUAACACCGGCGGCCCGAGUGGUGAUCGUGAUUAUUGGGUCUAAAGGGUCCGUAGCCGGUUUGGUCAGUCCUCCGGGAAAUCUGAUGGCUCAACCAUUAGGCUUUCGGGGGAUACUGCCAGGCUUGGAACCGGGAGAGGU